rnacentral:rRNA from 1 species
UACAGAGGUCCCAAGCGUUGUUCGGAUUCAUUGGGCGUAAAGGGUUCGUAGGCGGUGCGGCAAGUCGGUAGUGAAAUCUCCAGGCUUAACUUGGAGGCUGCUGCCGAAACUGCUGUGCUAGAGUGCAGGAGAGGCGAGUGGAAUUACAGGUGUAGCGGUGAAAUGCGUAGAUAUCUGUAGGAACACCCGUGGCGAAGGCGGCUCGCUGGACUGCAACUGACGCUGAGGAACGAAAGCUAGGGGAGCAAACAGG